UUUCAAUAUUUUGAUCUCAAUUAAAAGCUAUCUUACUCGGCUCCUUUAUUUUUGAUUUCCUCAAAGAUGAUAAGCAACUCCAACUAACCUCCGUCAACCCGUCACCACUUUCUUCCGGUGUUGUGCCACCACUACUCAGCUACACAUAUCGGCUUCCCCUGCUCCACAGUCCACCGUCAAGGUGUUGGAGCUGUUGUCCUCUGCUUUCUUUGUUCUUGUUUACUCUACCGCUUCAAUGUCUUUGUUGCUAUUGAUUGUUGAUCUUGCUUCUCGCAAAUUUUUGGCUAUAUCCGGGUACAGCCAAAGCUGGCUGUACCCCCAUCCAAAACGAUGUCGUUUUGUGUUGUUUAAAAUGAACAUUAAUAUACUGGUACAAAAAUGAACAUUUACUAUUUCAGAAAUGAACAUUUAUUUAUUUAUUUGAAAUGAACAUUUACUAUUUUGGAAAUGAACAUUUAUUUAUUUAUUUGGAAAUAAACUACAAAAAUGAACAUUUACUAUUUCGGAAAUGAACAUUUAUUUAUUUAUUUGGAAUGAACAUUUAUUAUUUUGGAAAUGAACAUUUAUUUAUUUAUUUGGAAAUAAACAAUAUAGGCGCUUGUAUAAACAUAAAAGACCAAUGAAGUGAACAAUUUCAUUAUGAACAUUAACCAUAUAUUUGUUGUGAACAAACAAAUAAACAAGAAAGAACAAAUAAUUCAACAAAAAAGAACAAACAAUAUAAAAAAGAACAAAAAAUUCCAGAAAAAAGAACAAACAAUACAACAAUUAUGAACAAUUUUAUGAUGAAUUUUAAAGCCAACAUGAAAGAACAAACAAUACAACAAGAAAGAACAAAUACUAGUACAAAAAUGAACAUUUACUAUUUCAGAAAUGAACAUUUAUUCAUUUAUUUGGAAUGAACAUUUACUAUUUUAGAAAUAAAUAUUUAUUUAUUUAUUUGGAAAUAAACUACAAAAAUGAACAUUUACUAUUUCGGAAAUGAACAUUUAUUUAUUUAUUUGGAAUGAACUUUUACUAUUUUGAAAAUGUACAUUUAUUGAUUUAUUUGGAAAUAAACAAUAUAGGCGCUUGUAAAAACAUAAAAGACCAAUGAAGUGAACAAUUUCAUUAUGAACAUUAACCAUAUAUUUAUUGUGAACAAACAAAUAAACAAAAAAGAACAAAUAAUUCAACAAAAAAGAACAAACAAUAUAAAAAAGAACAUAAAAUUCCAGAAAAAGAACAAACAAUAUAACAAUUAUGAAUAAUUUUAUGAUGAAUUUUAAAGCCAACAUGAAAGAACAAACAAUACAACAAGAAAAAACAAACAAUAAAGCAGAUAAUUAUCAUGAACAAACAAAUAAACAAGAAAGAACAAAUAAUUCAACAAAAAAGAACAAACAAUAUAAAAAAGAACAUAAAGUACCAGAAAAAAGAACAAACAAUAUAACAAUUAUGAACAAUUUUAUGAUGAAUUUUAAAGCCAACAUGAAAGAACAAACAAUACAACAAUAAGUUUGAUGAAUGAAUUUAAAAAACAACAAGAAAGAACAAAUAGUACAACAAGAAAGAACAAACAAUACAAAAAGAAAGAAUAAAAGAUUAAUGAAGAGUUUAAUUAUGAACAUUAACCAUAUGAUUAUUAUAAACAAACAAAUAAACAAGAAAGAACAAACAAUAUAAAAAGAACAUAAAAUUCCAGAAAAAAGAACAAAAAAUACAACAAUUAUGAAAAUUUGAUGAUGAAUUUAAAAAACAACAUGAAAGAACAAACAAUACAACAAGAAAGAACAAACAGUACAACAAGAAAGAACAAACAGUACAACAAGAAAGAACAAACAAUACAAUAAGAAUGAACAAACAGUACAAUAAAAAAGAACAAACAGUCGACAAGAAUGAACAAACAAUAUGAGCGCGUCGUUUUGGGGUACAGCCAGAGCUGGCUGUACCCGGGUACAGCAGUUAGCAAUUGCUUUCUUCUCAAGUUUAGAAGGUGAAAGUGUAUCUCAAGCCCAUUUAUUUGUUUAUUAUCUUUACUAAAUUAAAGCCCAAAAUGAUAAAAGAUCCUACUAGUAGGACUUUCAAUUUACGUAAGGUUCUAAACAAAAAUUGUAUUUUCAUUCUUCAGAGAAAUUUUUAUUCACCAAAAGAUAUUUAUUAAUCUUAAGAGUAUCUUUACUUGGUUAUUAUAAAUGGUUACAUAUUGUGGAAUCUUAGUACUUAUAUGGAGUGAUUGGAUCGAAUAUUUUACUUUGAAGUAGGAAUUGGGUUAAGAAUCACUAUGGAGUUAUAGUUUCCUAUAUGAUAAUAUGGAGGAAGACUCAAGUAUUUUAGUCCUUAUUUGUAUAUGGAUGAUCUCUAAUUAUUGCUUUAUUAUUUAAUUCUGGAUCGGUAAGCUUGGGAAAAUGGCGAAUCAUAUUAAUGAAGGAUAAAUUUUGGAGUAUAAAAUGUUCGGCAGUAAGCGAUCAAGGUAUUGUUAGAUCUCGUGUUGAAUUUAGUGGAGCGAAAUGGAUCUUAAGGAAUUGUAAAUUAUGUGUUUUAUAUUAAGGUUGUAUCUAUUUGUGAGAUUAGUUUAUGAAUUAUUGUAAGUGUGAUUGUGAGUUAAAGGUUUAUUAUUUAUUCAAGGAUUAUUCAUUUUAGUUA